UGAACCUCAACUGUGGUCGCUUGCAUCUGAGCCAUGUGGUCUUUUAACCUCUGAACUUCAGCUUGAGUCUGACUCCCCGAAGUCAUGUAUUGGUACGAGCUGGAUCCAAAAUAUUGGGUUGGGUUAACAAAAGAUCCUUGAAAUCGAACCCGACCAUACCUUUCAGGAUCCAAAACUUCAGUAAUAAUCCGGUUAUCAAUGUCUUCAAGAUGAACAGAACUAUCACUGGAAGCAAUCACUU
rnacentral:lncRNA from 1 species